GGCAGACAGAGAGAAGACUUCGGAUCAACAUAUACAUGGUGGAUAACCCUUCAAGACAAAAAACAACAGCCAAAUAUUCCAUGAAAUAGAAUUUAAGGAAGAAAACGGUAUGAUGCAUAGAAUAAAAAGAGUGAUUGAAAACACAAUCCUAUCCUUGUCAACAUCCUAUGUAGACUCUUUCACUCGCCAACUUUGAAAUUAUUAUUAGAACUAAAGUCAGCAUAAGAAGGCAUCACAAAGGAAGAUCUUAUUUACAGUCACUCUGUUUCACCAGGCUUGUGCUGUUGACACUCCCAAAAUUGCACUUGCAAGCAGUAACCAAGAAUCCCAAGCUACUAGCGAUCGACAAACGAUUUGUUCAUAAGGUCAACUGCAUUAUCCAUGAACUUUCCAAGCAACUUAAGUUCUCGUCCAACAGGUUCCAUAAAUUUUAGGUUAACAUCUAUAGGCCACACCUUAAUACCAAGUAAUCGAACGGGAGUAAUCUGGC
rnacentral:misc_RNA from 1 species